UCUCUGUUCGUAUAGUGGUUAGUAUGUGAGCUUGUCAUUCGACAUCGCUCGAGACCGGGGUUCAAUUCCCCGACAGAGAG
rnacentral:tRNA from 1 species